GAUGAACGCUGGCGGCGUGCUUAACACAUGCAAGUCGAACGAUGAAGCCCCGCUUGCUGGGUGGAUUAGUGGCGAACGGGUGAGUAACACGUGAGUAACCUGCCCUUAACUCUGGGAUAAGCCUGGGAAACUGGGUCUAAUACCGGAUAGGAGCGUCUACCGCAUGGUGGGGGUUGGAAAGAUUUAUCGGUUUUGGAUGGACUCGCGGCCUAUCAGCUUGUUGGUGAGGUAAUGGCUCACCAAGGCGACGACGGGUAGCCGGCCUGGGAGGGUGACCGGCCACACUGGGACUGGGACACGGCCCAGACUCCUACGGGAGGCAGCAGUGGGGAAUAUUGCACAAUGGGCGCAAGCCUGAUGCAGCGACGCCGCGUGAGGGAUGACGGCCUUCGGGUUGUAAACCUCUUUCAGUAGGGAAGAAGCGAGAGUGACGGUACCUGCAGAAGAAGCACCGGCUAACUACGUG
rnacentral:rRNA from 1 species